rnacentral:rRNA from 1 species
GGUUAGCUUAGAAGCAGCUAUCCUUUAAAGAGUGCGUAACAGCUCACCAGUCGAGGUUUGGGGCCCCGAAAAUGGACGGGGCUCAAGUCGACUACCGAUACCACGGAGCACCGCAAGGUGAUCUAGUAGGAAGGCGUUGCGCUCGGGUAGAAGCAGGGCUGUAAAGUCCUGUGGACCGUGCGGAAACGAAAAUCCUGGCAAUAGUAACAGCAAAGUCAGGUGAGAAUCCUGACCACCGAAGGGGCCAGGUUUCCUCGGCAAUGUUCGUCAGCCGAGGGUUAGUCGGUCCUAAGACGUACCGUAAUUCGAGUACGCCGAAAGGGAAACAGGUUAAUAUUCCUGUACUAUCCAACAAUAAACUGACGUUUUUGGGCAGGCUGAGCAGCGUCGUCGCGCUGUCUAAGCACCGAAAUCCAUGGAGAGCCGUAAUGGCGAGAAGUGGAUGAAUGUGUAAUGGCGUAAGUCAGUUGCACCCGGGAACCCGUGAAAAGGGAGUUGGAUAUCCGUACCGAGAACUGACACAGGUGCCCCUAGCUGAAAAGGCUAAGGUGUGUCGGAGUAAACUGGCUAAGGGAAUUCGGCAAAUUGGCUCCGUAACUUCGGGAUAAGGAGUGCCUGCUGUGUAGACAGCAGGUCGCAGUGACCAGAGAGCUCUAACUGUCUAAUAUCAACAUAGGAAAUCGCAAACCUGUAAAGGCUAGUACGAUUUCUGAAUCCUGCCCAGUGCAGGUACCUGAAACCCCGGUUCAACGGGAAGAAGGGCCUGUAAACGGCGGGGGUAACUAUGACCCUCUUAAGGUAGCGUAGUACCUUGUCGCUUAAUUGGCGACUUGCAUGAAUGGAUCAAUGAGAGUUCUACUGUCCCUAGCCAGAGUCCGGUGAACUUUACAUUCUAGUGCACAGUCUAGAGACCUCUAGGGGGAAGUGAAGACCCCGUAGAGCUUUACUGCAGCCUGUCGUUGGGUUGUGGUUUUGGAUGUACAGUGUAGGUAGGAGACGUCGAAGCCGGUGCGCCAGCAUCGGUGGAGUCGCCAUUGGGACACUACCCUUCUGAAAUUACGAUCCUAACUCCAACGGAGGACAUCGAUAGGUGGGCAGUUUGCCUGGGGCGGGACGCCCUUGAAAAGAUAUCAAGGGCGCACAAAGGUUGACUCAAGUGGGUCGGAAACCUACUGAAGAGUGUAAGAGCAUAAGUCAGCCUGACGUUAUUCAGCACAGUAGUGGAUGACGAGACGAAAGUCGGUUCUAGCGAACUUUUGUGAUUCCCGCUUGGUGCGGGCCAAAAAUGACAGAAAAGUUACCUCGGGGAUAAUUGAGUUGUUGCCGGCAAGAGCACAUAUCGACCCGGCAGCUUGCUACUUCGAUGUCGGUUCUUUCCAUCCUGGCCGUGCAGCAGCGGCCAAGGGUGAGGUUGUUCGCCUAUUAAAGGAGAUCGUGAGCUGGGUUUAGACCGUCGUGAGACAGGUCGGUUACUAUCUACUAGAGGUGUGUGCAGUCUGAGGGUAAGUUGCUUUUAGUACGAGAGGAACCGAGCAACGGCGCCACUGGUCGAUCGGUUGUCUGACAAGGCAUUGCCGAGCAGCUACGCGCUAAGGAAUAAGAGCUGAAAGCAUCUAAGCUCGAAAUCUAACCUAAAAAGAGACUGCUUUAAGAGUUCCGGUAAAAGACCGGUUUGAUAGGGUCGGGAUGUAAGCAUCAAGGCAACGAGAUGUUCAGUCCGCGGCUACUAACCACUCGUGCCUAGUC